rnacentral:rRNA from 1 species
UCUGGUUGAUCCUGCCUGAACUGAUGUGUUCAUUUCAAAGAUUAAGCCAUGCAUGUAUAAGUUUAAUCGUUUUAACGAGAAACCGCGAACGGCUCAUUACAAUGGCCAUGAUUUACUUGAUCUUGAUUAUCUAAAUGGAUAACUGUGGAAAAGCUAGAGCUAAUACAUGCACCAAAGCUUUGUCCUCUCGGAAAAGCGCAUUUAUUAGAACAAAACCACGCGGCUUCGGCUGCUUCUUGUUGACUCAGAAUAACUAUGCUGACCGCAUGGCCUUGUGCCGGCGGCGUGUCUUUCAAGCGUCCACUUUAUCAACUUGACGGGAGCAUAAUCGACUCCCGUGGUGGUGACGGAUAACGGAGGAUCAGGGUUCGACUCCGGAGAAGGGGCCUGAGAAAUGGCCACUACGUCUAAGGAUGGCAGCAGGCGCGCAAAUUACCCACUCUCGGCUCGAGGAGGUAGUGACGAGAAAUAACGAGAUCGUUCUCUUUGAGGCCGGUCAUCGGAAUGGGUACAAUUUAAACCUUUUAACGAGUAUCAAGCAGAGGGCAAGUCUGGUGCCAGCAGCCGCGGUAAUUCCAGCUCUGCUAAUACAUAGAAUUAUUGCUGCGGUUAAAAAGCUCGUAGUUGGAUUCGUAUCGGUACCCUGGAACCCUCCGGGUGUUUCUGGGUGUUAUCGAUUUAUCGUAAUGUUCGGUUUUGAGUCCUUAACAGGAUUCUUAACAGGCAUUGCAAGUUUACUUUGAACAAAUCAGAGUGCUUCAAACAGGCGUUUUCGCUUGAAUGAUCGUGCAUGGAAUAAUAGAAAACGAUUUCGGUUCUGUUUUAUUGGUUUUACGGACUGAGAUAAUGGUUAACAGAGACAAACGGGGGCAUUUGUAUGGCCCCGUGAGAGGUGAAAUUCUUGGACCGUGGCCAGACAAACUACAGCGAAAGCAUUUGCCAAGAAUGUCUUCAUUAAUCAAGAACGAAAGUCAGAGGUUCGAAGGCGAUCAGAUACCGCCCUAGUUCUGACCGUAAACGAUGCCAACUAGCGAUCCGCCGAUGGAAAUUAUAUUGCCUUGGUGGGGAGCUUCCCGGAAACGAAAGUCUUCCGGUUCCGGGGGAAGUAUGGUUGCAAAGCUGAAACUUAAAGGAAUUGACGGAAGGGCACCACCAGGAGUGGAGCCUGCGGCUUAAUUUGACUCAACACGGGGAAACUCACCCGGCCCGGACACUGUGAGGAUUGACAGAUUGAUAGCUUUUUCAUGAUUCAGUGGAUGGUGGUGCAUGGCCGUUCUUAGUUCGUGGAGUGAUUUGUCUGGUUUAUUCCGAUAACGAGCGAGACUCUAACCUACUAAAUAGCUGGUACAUAAUUUAAGUGUAUACAGCUUCUUAGAGGGAUUUGCGGUGUUCAGCCGAAAGAAUUGAGCAAUAACAGGUCUGUGAUGCCCUUAGAUGUCCGGGGCUGCACGCGCGCUACACUGGCAAAAUCAACGUGCUUGUCCUACCCCGAAAGGGUCGGGUAAACCAUUGAAAAUUUGCCGUGAUUGGAUCGGAAAUUGC